UAGGGAAUCUUCGGCAAUGGGGGGAACCCUGACCGAGCAACGCCGCGUGAGUGAAGAAGGUUUUCGGAUCGUAAAGCUCUGUUGUUAAGGAAGAACGAGUGUGAGAAUGGAAAGUUCAUACUGUGACGGUACUUAACCAGAAAGGGACGGCUAACUACGUGCCAGCAGCCGCGGUAAUACGUAGGUCCCGAGCGUUGUCCGGAUUUAUUGGGCGUAAAGCGAGCGCAGGCGGUUAGAUAAGUCUGAAGUUAAAGGCAGUGGCUCAACCAUUGUAGGCUUUGGAAACUGUCAAACUUGAGUGCAGAAGGGGAGAGUGGAAUUCCAUGUGUAGCGGUGAAAUGCGUAGAUAUAUGGAGGAACACCGGUGGCGAAAGCGGCUCUCUGGUCUGUAACUGACGCUGAGGCUCGAAAGCGUGGGGAGCGAACAGGAUUAGAUACCCUGGUAGUCCACGCCGUAAACGAUGAGUGCUGGGUGUUGGAUCCUUUCCGGGAUUCAGUGCCGCAGCUAACGCAUUAAGCACUCCGCCUGGGGAGUACGACCGCAAGGUUG
rnacentral:rRNA from 1 species